rnacentral:pre_miRNA from 1 species
AUAUAGAGCAGUCUGUCUUUAAGGAGGGAUAAUUACUCUUAAAAAUGAAUCCUAGUUUUUCCUUCAAAUCAAGCAUCUUCU